UCUAACAAGCUCCCCUGUCGAUGCUACUGUAGAAAGUGCUCAGUAGAAAGUGCUGGAAGGAGGACUAUCCUUCCUUUUGCUAAUAUGGAUGGCCUCUUCCAGGAAAACGCUGGCUCAGAACUCUAUAGAAAGCCCCUUUCCACCAGGACAGAAGGGAGCAAAGCUCAGAGAGGGGCGGUCCGAAGCUCGGGGUCACCGUCGGGGAGCACUGGAGCCAGGCUCGGGUCCAAGGCAAUUUGAUGGCAGGAACCACCCGAAGGGGCACGGUCAAGUAUACAGACGGUGAAGUUGGAGGCCCGAGUCGGGAUGGCACUUUCCUCCACUCGAGUCGGAGUUAUCUCUGGCCACAGACACAACUGGUACACACCUGCCAUUGUCCUUUGUCAUUUGGUAGAGGCAGAGGGUACGUGCAACCGGGAGUUACAGGACGCAGAGAACAUUUCUCGAAGGAUACAAAUAAUGAGGCCCCAUGCUGGAGUUCCUGAUGGAAAGUCCCAACAAAUCAGGGAAGGCGUCUGGCAUCCAAUUUCUAUCCAAGCCUUUGAUCCCUGCUGCUGAACCUUCCACAACUCAGGCCUGAGACAGGGGACCCUCCAGGCGGCCUGGAGACCACCAGCCCUCUCCUCAGACAGGUGAGUGGCCGAAGCACCCUUUCCCCUCCGGGAAGCCUCUGCUGCACUCACUUUUCCAUAUUGCCCU